rnacentral:rRNA from 1 species
UACGGAGGGGGCAAGCGUUGUUCGGAAUUACUGGGCGUAAAGCGCGCGUAGGCGGUCGACAUAGUCAGGCGUGAAAGCCCUGGGCUCAACCCGGGAAUUGCGCUUGAUACUGGCCGACUAGAGGCCGGGAGAGGGUAGUGGAAUUCCCAGUGUAGAGGUGAAAUUCGUAGAUAUUGGGAAGAACACCAGUGGCGAAGGCGGCUACCUGGACCGGUACUGACGCUAAGGCGCGAAAGCGUGGGGAGCAAACAGG